CUCAUUCGGCUGUGUGUCAGCGGUUGGUCUGGCUGGUUUUGCCUUGGACUCUACUCUGGAUCUGUUGUGGUCUGCUGGCUGUGGCCGGGCUGGCCUGCGUCUCAUGUUCAGCUUAAGUGAGCUGAUUUUGUCUGCUCCCUGGAUGGUAUCAUCUGGCUGUGUCUCCUUCCUCCCUGCAUGAGGGGGAGCUUGUCACCUGGCAUAGAGGUUGACUGUGCGCUGCAGCGUGUC